GUCCACGCCCUAAACGAUGUCUACUAGUUGUUGGUGGAGUAAAUCCAUGAGUAACGCAGCUAACGCGUUAAGUAGACCGCCUGGGGAGUACGGUCGCAAGAUUAAAACUCAAAUGAAUUGACGGGGCCCGCACAAGCGGUGGAUUAUGUGGAUUAAUUCGAUGCAACGCGAAAACCUUACCUGGCCUUGACAUGUAACUAACUUUCCAGAGAUGGAUUGGUGCUCGAAAGAGAGCGUUAACACAGGUGCUGCAUGGCUGUCGU
rnacentral:rRNA from 1 species